CACCACUGUACCAGUUUAGGGGGAGCUCACUCAUCUCGAAAUCUUUUAACUGAAUUUUGAUUUUGAAGCAUUUCUAUCUCUUUUGGAGUCCAUUUCCCAUUGAAACACAAAAAGGAAAUAAUUUUUGUUCCACCCCUCCACAUUCCUUAUGUGCCUCACAGUCCGAAGUCAGGAGCAUGUGAUUCAGUUGUGAUUUGUUGCUGUAUAUAUCAUAUAUUUAUAUUUCUUUAAUUUUUUUUACAAAACUUAGGUCAUAAGUUUUCUUAUUUGAAUUAUGGCUUUUAAUUAUACACUUUUUAUAGCUGACUUAUGAUGUGGUUUUCGGUGUUGAAGUUCGUACAUCAUAUACUGUGGAUUCAUUAAUAUUCGUUGGAUACCAAUUUUCGUGGAUUUCGUGGGGACAGAGGAACCACGAAUUCAAGUGAUCAACGAAAUACAGAUUUUCUAAAGGAAUGUAUGCAUACUUUGCCAAAACAACGAAUUUACAUAUCCACGAAUAUGCAAGUUUUCAUCAAUCCACGAAAAUUGGUACCCACGAAAAUAAAUGAAUCCACAGUAGAUCUUAAUUUGUAUGUCAUUUGGUGUCUGUUAGAGAGUUGUCUCAUUGUCAAUCAUACCACAUCUUCUUAUUUCUUAUAUUUUAAUAAUUAAGUCAAGUGACCUGACUUUAUAUAUAAAGUCUAUACACUCAAGAUAACAGUACAGAAAAUGAUACAAAACCACACAAUUAUAA
rnacentral:lncRNA from 1 species